rnacentral:rRNA from 1 species
UACACCCGCUAUCCGCCAGGGAACUACGAGCACCAGCUUAAAACCCAAAGGACUUGGCGGUGCUUUAGAUCCACCUAGAGGAGCCUGUUCUAGAACCGAUAACCCCCGUUCAACCUCACCCUCUCUUGUCAUUCCCGCCUAUAUACCGCCGUCGUCAGCUUACCCUGUGAAGGAAAAAUAGUAAGCAAAACUAGUAAAACCCAAAACGCCAGGUCGAGGUGUAGCAUAUGAGAGGGGAAGAAAUGGGCUACAUUCCCUGCCUUCAGGGAACACGAACAAUGUAAUGAAAAGGACAUUAGAAGGAGGAUUUAGCAGUAAGCAGCAAAUAGAGAGUCCUGCUGAAACCGGCCCUGAAGCGCGCACACACCGCCCGCCCGUC